UACGGGGGGGGCAAGCGUUGUUCGGAAUUACUGGGCGUAAAGGGCUCGUAGGCGGCCAACUAAGUCAGACGUGAAAUCCCUCGGCUUAACCGGGGAACUGCGUCUGAUACUGGAUGGCUUGAAUCCGGGAGAGGGAUGCGGAAUUCCAGGUGUAGCGGUGAAAUGCGUAGAUAUCUGGAGGAACACCGGUGGCGAAGGCGGCAUCCUGGACCGGCAUUGACGCUGAGUGAGCGAAAGCCAGGGGAGCGAACGGG
rnacentral:rRNA from 1 species